AAGUCGUAACAAGGUUUCCGUAGGUGAACCUGCGGAAGGAUCAUUAACGAAUAACUAUGGCGUUGGUUGUAGCUGGCUCCUCGGAGCAAUGUGCACGCCCGCCAUUUUUAUCUUUCCACCUGUGCACCGACUGUAGGUCUGGAUACCUCUCGCCUCCGGGCGGAUGCGAGGGUUGCUCGUAAGGGCUUCCCUUGAACUUCCAGGCUCUACGUCUUUUUACACACCCCAAUAGUAUGAUGCAGAAUGUAGUCAAUGGGCUUUCUCAGCCUAUAAAACACUAUACAACUUUCAGCAACGGAUCUCUUGGCUCUC
rnacentral:misc_RNA from 1 species